AAGUGGAGAAAAAAUGGAAUGUACAAAGGGAUAGCCUAUAUGAGAGGAAAAAAUUAAUAAAAUUAGUAUUGUUGGUGGCAGUGGUGUUUUCUAUUUGGCCAGAAUUUUUACGUAUGUGUGUUCUGGCAUAAAAGCGUAAAACAGAAACUGAACCGAAAACUGAUUUCUGAUUCAGUUUUCUGCCACACAAUUUUACGCAUGUGUGUUCCUGGCCUUAAACACAAGAAGAUAAAGCGGAAAACUCACGUGACUAGCCCAUCGGUUAGGCGCCAAUCAACUUCAGUGUUCAGCCACUGGUGGGCCUGCAAUGGAGAAAAAUAUCCUUUUUCAUGAAGAUUUCUAUAAUAAAAUAUCAUUAAAACCGGCAGUUACCGGUAACUGCCGGUUGUUACCAAGGCGUGUUUAGAAAAUGUGAUCAAAAUAACAAACCACGUUUAAAAAUCACUGUUAUGUCGUCACCGGUUGCCCUGCGGUAGUUAUCGAAAUAACCACGGUGGCGGUUAUAGCUGUUCUGUUAAAUUACAAAAUGGCGGACACACUGUAUCGUUGUGGAGAAUGUGGCCGAGAUUUUAAAACUUUGGAUGAGAUAAAACAGCAAUUUGUUGGCCAAGCAAGAAGGUGUGGAGUUUAAUUGCCCAAACAUUGCAAGAAAAUGAUUUCCUUGUCACGGGUAAUCAAUGUGAUGAAAAAUGAAGAAACUUAAAGAAAAGUUAUAGGAAAAUUAAAAAUGGAAACAAGCAAACUGCCCGAGGAAGAAGCCAGUGGGAAUUUUUUUUCCCAUGAUGGAUGAGAUUCUCGGACAGCGGCCAAAUAUUGAACCACCUGCUACAUUUGAGAGUUUCUCUUCAACUUUACAGGUUUUGAGCAUGGUAAAAAAGCAAUUCAGAAGAUUUGAGCCUUCAACAUCAACUCUCUCUUCUCUUUCCAAACUCCCACAAAAGAAUAAGCGGAAGUCAGAAUGGUUUGAGGAAUACAAAGAACUGAAGGAAAAAUCUAGAGAAGUCUUUCUUCUCUGGAUUUUUCCUUGACAGCAACAUGACUGAACUAUUAGAAUUCGGGAGGAAACAGCAUGAGAAUAAUUUUUUAUUUCAGAUUAUUAAAAAAUAAUUAACAGUAACAAAUCACUUUGCAAUAUUUAGCAUUGAAGUUUAUUGUUAUCUAUUUAAAAAAACAUCAUGUAACUAACCACGAUGUUUUCUAAAUAGAUACCAAAAUAACAAUAAACACCAAUACUGUAUGUUGUAAACUGAUUUUCACAACAUUUGCAUUAAAAAGUUUCUUUUAUCCUGUGUUCGAGAACAUGUACUGUACUAGUUGAAUCUUGUAUGGAUUCACUAGAGUUGUCAUUAUUUACAAUUACAGUUUCAUCCUCUAAAUCGCCAUCAUGCAUUUGACAAAUAUUAUUCAAUACACAGCAGGUCAUAAUAAAUAUUAGAAUGAGAUAAGGGUUGCCCAUAUCCACAUAUCUCUAACGUCUGAAACGUCCUUUUAAUAAGCCAAAGGCACAUUCUACUAUGUUGCGUAUUUUACUAAGCCGUUGAUUUAAAUAUCCAUUAUCUCGGAAUGGCGUUAUUAAUUGUUCUUGCAGUGGAUACGCAGAGUCACCUAAAAGGUGUUAAAUCAUGUUUUAGAUAGAGUAUCUAGAUCGGAAAACAAUGCAUUUAAAUGGGUGCCGACAUAUUUAGUACAUUUUACUGUAUGUCAUUUACAGUUACUGUUUUAGUGUGUAUUCAUUUUCAUGUAAACGGUGUAUUUCAUAAACAUAAAGUUGAAUUAUUUUAAACGUGCUGAGCACGGCUAGUAUUGCUGUAACAAUCGGUCCAAAUAUGGCGGAUUGACGAUCAGAAUGCGCUUGUAUUCAAUCUGCGGACACUACUUUUAAGGAAAUAGUUACCUAUAUCUCGAGAUCACUACGGAUACAUAGUUUUCGGGUGUUCCCUGAACACCAAAAAGUCAAAAACACGGAAAAUCCCUGUGUAUAUAUGUUGGCAUCUAUUUCGUUUAUUAUCUGAGGAGGGGUAAAGAUUAAGAAAUGAAAUUUUGUACGGUUACUCCUUAUACAAGGGGCAUCGAUACUAUUAAAUUUUGGAGUACGAAGCUCGAGCGGGUGGGGAGAUAUGGAGGUGGUCACUUGAUGUCCUAAGCGUUUAUAAUGGAUGAUGUUGAUCCACUACAUCAUCAUCACCACACUUUCAGAUUUCAGAAUACUGUUAAUAUAAAUAUGCUUUAAUUCUUAGAUCAAUUUAAUAUAAAAAUUGAUUUUUAUAUCGAUAAUUUCGUUUUAUUUUACUCCACAAAUUUAAAUAAAUUAAUUAAUUUAAAAAACAAAUUUACGCAUAAAAUUAUUAUUAUCUAAUUUAAUACAUUUUGUAAAGGGUUGAAUUUUAAACUUUUUAAUGGCGGAAAUUCGAGUCAAGAUUUUGACGGUGGCACCAUCUGUCGAUUAUUUUAUUAAUUUAAAUAAAUAUUGAAAACCUCGUUUACUAUCGAAUCGACUCUUUCGUUUUUAGGUCAAAGGUCUAGCAAGCGUGCAACAUAAAGUGCGAUUUUCCCAAGAAAGCGCUCGCGAUCUACUGGUAAGAAGUCAGGGAUUUGAAAAUUGCGCCGCCCGACAAGAAAUACCCUCACGAAAAGCGCCAAAGAUAGGACCAGAGCGUCGCCAAACGGAGACGGGAGCCGAAAAAAGUACACUUUUUAAAUUAAUUCGGUGGACCGGCUCCAACCGAGCGGGUGUUGGAGACGGUAAUUUACGUAAUCUUCAGACACGCGGUCGAAGUAAGGAGUAAGAUUCGAGGGAUUAAAGAGGAGGAAGGGAUUAAAAAGAUGAUUUGGACAGUGAUGCGGAGAUCGUUUCACGCAUUACUUUUCUUAAUGGGAACGGUUCACGGAUUAGAUUACGCGGGUAAGUUACUCAUUUUCGAAUCAAAAAGGUAACGUGUCAUUAUUUAAAGUCACAUUUACGAAAUGGCAGACUUCCUGCACCCGUUUUUCUAAAUGGCAGUGUCAGCUGGCCAUCCGCCUAUUUAUAGUUCGAUAGAGGCUAUGCUAGAACUGUGACUAGCACGUGUUUAUCUUUAAACGAUGUUUUAAUCGUUUUAAAAAUGGAAAACACGUUUAUUCUCGGAUCUAAUCUGUUUGCCAGCGACACUUUUGUUUCUUGUUUUAUUUGUUUUGUAAGUUAAAACAAUCGAAAUUGUAAGGUCACUAGCGGGAAAUUCGAUUAAAGAUGAAUAGGUCAUUGUUCUCGUAGAGGAACAACGUGCAACUAUCAACGCUUUGGUGUUAGAUCUAGUGUUAGUAAUUAAAGUUUAAUGAGUAAAUUUUAAGUUUUUACUCUUUCGAGUAGUGGAUGAAACAUCGUUAUCUGCGAUAUAAAAUUCAAUGAAGUGGUAUAAUUUUAAUUUUGUCCUUAAUUUCUGCAGGAAGUCUCCAUUUAUUGGGAGUUAUUAAGCUUCAAACGGGGCGAACAAAAUCAGUGCCCCCCAUACACAUCCAUACAUACAGAAAUUACCCAAAAUCUUUUUUGCAUUUUUCGACGUUUCAAGGUCCCCUGAGUGCAAAAAUGUAAAAAUAUCUGGGGGAUCAUUUUUUGACCGAUCGCUAUACUUUCCCUCUGUUAUAUAUAACAGUCGGUAAAGUAAAAAUUUCUCUCCUAUCAUAUAAAAGAUAUAUCUGUAUCAAUUAGAAUUUUGAAUGUGUAAAAACUCCGACUAUAUAAAUUUAGUAUAAAAUUACACAACCCGCAAUGGUACCGCACAAGAAGCCACAGAAGUCUGCGGGUUUCCCAUUCCCAUUGGUAGACAUUUCAUAAUCAUGAAAAGUGUUCAUUUCCAACAAAGAGUUCGCUUGAUUUUUCCAGGUAUUUUUAUGAUUAGUAAAUACAUUCUAGUGUUAUUUGUUUAUUAAUUGUGAGCAGAACUCUAUUAUAUAAUCAUAACUUGAAACCGUUAAACGUAUUACGUGUCUUUAUUUUACAGGUGUGCCCGAUCCUCCGAGUACUCCCGUAGCCACCACGUUCUCCUCCAGAUCGGUAAAUCUGUCGUGGACUCAGAUCCAGAGCGAUUUUUAUGCUCCCGUUGAGUAUUACGUCGUCUUUGUAAAGUGUGUAAG